GAUGAACGCUGGCGGCACGCCUAACACAUGCAAGUCGAUCGGUAAGGCUCUUCGGAGUACACGAGAGGCGGACGGCUGAGUAACGCGUAGGAACACACCCUGCAGUGAGGGAUAAGACACCGAAAGGUGUUCUAAUACCGCAUACGGUCUUCGGAUUAAAGCAUUUAUGCGCUGAAGGAGUGGCCUGCGUCAUAUUAGAUAGUUGGUGAGGUAAUGGCUCACCAAGUCGAUGAUGUGUAGCUGGUCUGAGAGGAUGAUCAGCCAGACUGGAACUGAGACACGGUCCAGACUCCUACGGGAGGCAGCAGUGAGGAAUAUUUCACAAUGAGCGAAAGCUUGAUGGAGCAAUGCCGCGUGCAGGAUGAAGGCCCUCGGGUUGUAAACUGCUUUUAUAAGAGAAGAUUAUGACGGUAACUUAUGAAUAAGGGACGGCUAACUACGUG
rnacentral:rRNA from 1 species